AUACGAAGGGGGCUAGCGUUGUUCGGAAUUACUGGGCGUAAAGCGCGCGUAGGCGGAUUGGUCAGUUAGGGGUGAAAUCCCAGGGCUUAACCCUGGAACUGCCUCCAAAACUUCCAAUCUAGAGAUCGAGAGAGGUGAGUGGAAUUCCAAGUGUAGAGGUGAAAUUCGUAGAUAUUCGGAGGAACACCAGUGGCGAAGGCGGCUCACUGGCUCGAUACUGACGCUGAGGUGCGAAAGCGUGGGGAGCAAACAGGAUUAGAAACCCGGGUAGUCC
rnacentral:rRNA from 1 species